GUUAAAGGCAGUGCUGAUGGCAAUUGAUGACAGCAGUGAAGCCCUGACACCAUUUUGGAACAGAACUUGGAACAGCCAUUUGCAAAGAUGGGAGAUCAAAUGAAUAUCAAUAAGCAAAUGAUAUGUGGACAGUACAUAUCUGCUAUUCCAGAGACUCAAAUCUGUUCAGUAAAGUGUACAUCAGUGCAGUUUGUGCCACACCAAUGGAAAGUGCUUGGAUGCUCUCCAGAACUUGAAGAUUGAUUGGAAGAAGUGGAGAUCCUGUAAUUAGCCUGGGGAGAGAACAAAAAUAAGAACAUCAUCGACUUCAAAUAUUAAAAGCUCAGUAAAAGAGAAAUGGGUUCGUUUUGACUCAAGGGUAUAACUGGGAUGAAAAAGAGUACACAGGGAGGCAAACUUUGGUUUCAUAUUACAAAGACUUUACAUUAGAAUUUUUCUUUUUUUUU